rnacentral:tRNA from 1 species
GUGGUAUUAGCUCAAUGGUAGAGCACUAGGUUGUGGACCUAGGGGUUGCCGGUUCGAAUCCGGUAUGCCACC